ACAUCGAAAUGUAUUUAAGCUGACGCAUUUCAAUUAAGUCAUUGCAUUUGUAUGUGCAUGUGAGCAGAUUGUCUCAACUGCUAAUACUUCAAAGCAGAAAUCCUCUUUUAAGCAGCGAAUAUCUGCACGUUUUAAAAAAAAAAUCAUAAUGGAAGAUAUCGAUGAAGCUUUUGUUGAUACUGUGUUUGCCAGUUUACCAGUUAUUGAUGGUCAUCGUCAAACUCUCCGCAUUUCUCAAGAAGAAGAAAUUUUGCUGUCAGCAGGUCUAGUGCAAUUCCAGUUUGUAAAUACUACAGAAGGCGUUUCCAAAUUAAUCUAUCACCAUCAACCUAGGAGUAUUGAAGACAAUCAGCGCAAUUGUAACAUUAAACCAAUUUAAAUUACGAUCAUUUCAACAUGAAAAUUUAUUCGGGUACAUCCACUUACCUGAAAGUGUUUUAAAGUUUUUAAAACAAUUAUGGCAAGCAAGAACACUAAAAAUUAUCUGUGCAACCGAAAUUUAUGAAACGUUAUCUAACAAUCGUUUAGUUAAUCGAAUUGAACUGGAUAAACAAAGUCUACGUAUGUAUCCUCAACUAGAAUUGGAAAGUUUGCCGUAUCAUAGAUUUUAUAGACAUGUAAAUGUAGAUCCUACAAAAAUUGAUUUGUUACAAUACCAAACUUACCUUGAUAGCUGUAGUUAAAAUGGGUGUAAUAAAUAAUAUUCAAAGAUUAA